UUUUCAGUGUAAGUAUAUCCCAUGCAAUAUUUGGGACAUGCGUAUACUAAAA
rnacentral:pre_miRNA from 1 species